ACGAACGCUGGCGGCGUGCCUAAUACAUGCAAGUAGAACGCUGAAGAGAGGAGCUUGCUCUUCUUGGAUGAGUUGCGAACGGGUGAGUAACGCGUAGGUAACCUGCCUUGUAGCGGGGGAUAACUAUUGGAAACGAUAGCUAAUACCGCAUAACAAUGGAUGACACAUGUCAUUUAUUUGAAAGGGGCAAUUGCUCCACUACAAGAUGGACCUGCGUUGUAUUAGCUAGUAGGUGAGGUAACGGCUCACCUAGGCGACGAUACAUAGCCGACCUGAGAGGGUGAUCGGCCACACUGGGACUGAGACACGGCCCAGACUCCUACGGGAGGCAGCAGUAGGGAAUCUUCGGCAAUGGGGGCAACCCUGACCGAGCAACGCCGCGUGAGUGAAGAAGGUUUUCGGAUCGUAAAGCUCUGUUGUAAGUCAAGAACGAGUGUGAGAGUGGAAAGUUCACACUGUGACGGUAGCUUACCAGAAAGGGACGGCUAACUACGUGCCAGCAGCCGCGGUAAUACGUAGGUCCCGAGCGUUGUCCGGAUUUAUUGGGCGUAAAGCGAGCGCAGGCGGUUUGAUAAGUCUGAAGUUAAAGGCUGUGGCUCAACCAUAGUUCGCUUUGGAAACUGUCAAACUUGAGUGCAGAAGGGGAGAGUGGAAUUCCAUGUGUAGCGGUGAAAUGCGUAGAUAUAUGGAGGAACACCGGUGGCGAAAGCGGCUCUCUGGUCUGUAACUGACGCUGAGGCUCGAAAGCGUGGGGAGCGAACAGGAUUACACACCCUGGUAGUCCACGGCGUAAACGAUGAGUGCUAGGUGUUGGAUCCUUUCCGGGAUUCAGUGCCGCAGCUAACGCAUUAAGCACUCCGCCUGGGGAGUACGACCGCAAGGUUGAAACUCAAAGGAAUUGACGGGGGCCCGCACAAGCAGUGGAGUAUGUGGUUUAAUUCGAAGCAACGCGAAGAACCUUACCAGGUCUUGACAUCCCGAUGCUAUUUCUAGAGAUAGAAAGUUACUUCGGUACAUCGGUGACAGGUGGUGCAUGGUUGUCGUCAGCUCGUGUCGUGAGAUGUUGGGUUAAGUCCCGCAACGAGCGCAACCCCUAUUGUUAGUUGCCAUCAUUCAGUUGGGCACUCUAGCGAGACUGCCGGUAAUAAACCGGAGGAAGGUGGGGAUGACGUCAAAUCAUCAUGCCCCUUAUGACCUGGGCUACACACGUGCUACAAUGGUUGGUACAACGAGUUGCGAGUCGGUGACGGCAAGCUAAUCUCUUAAAGCCAAUCUCAGUUCGGAUUGUAGGCUGCAACUCGCCUACAUGAAGUCGGAAUCGCUAGUAAUCGCGGAUCAGCACGCCGCGGUGAAUACGUUCCCGGGCCUUGUACACACCGCCCGUCACACCACGAGAGUUUGUAACACCCGAAGUCGGUGAGGUAACCUUUUGGAGCCAGCCGCCUAAGGUGGGAUAGAUGAUUGGGGUG
rnacentral:rRNA from 1 species